UAAUACGAAGGUGGCAAGCGUUGUUCGGAUUUACUGGGCGUACAGGGAGCGUAGGCGGUUUGAUAAGCCCUCUGGGAAAUCUUCGGGCUUAACCCGGAAAGUUCAGAGGGGACUGCCAAGCUAGAGGACGGGAGAGGAGCGCGGAAUUCCCGGUGUAGCGGUGAAAUGCGUAGAGAUCGGGAGGAGGGCCGGUGGCGAAGGCGGCGCUCUGGAACGUUUCUGACGCUGAGGCUCGAAAGCGUGGGGAGCAAACAGGAUUAGAUACCCUGGUAGUCCACGCCCUAAACGAUGGAUACUAAGUGUCGGCGGUUUACCGCCGGUGCCGCAGCUAACGCAGUAAGUAUCCCGCCUGGGGAGUACGGCCGCAAGGUU
rnacentral:rRNA from 1 species